rnacentral:rRNA from 1 species
AGAAUCAACGCUGGCGGCGUGCCUAACACAUGCAAGUCGAACGAGAAAGUGGAGCAAUCCAUGAGUAAAGUGGCGACCGGGUGAGUAACACGUGACUAACCUACCUUUUAGUGGGGGAUAACCUCGGGAAACCGAGGCUAAUACCGCAUAACAUCGCAAGAUCAAAGCAGCAAUGCGCUGGAAGAGGGGGUCGCGGCUGAUUAGCUAGUUGGCGGGUAACGGCCCACCAAGGCGACGACGGGUA